rnacentral:lncRNA from 1 species
UGGGAGACUGUUGGAGGUAUGCCCUAGAGGCAAUCAUAGAGAUGAUGAUAUUCCAUUUGUAUCCAUGAUUUGUAUGUUGUGUUCAUUGAAUAUCAAUUGAAGGCUACUUGAAUUGAUUUGCAAUUAUGUGAAUUGUAUGUGAAACUCUUUACUUGUAUGGUUAUUCUAAAGUUGUCCCUAGUCGGAGUUCAUGUGAGGACACACAUGAAUAUUAGACUAGCACAUGUAUUAGUUGAUGACUAUGUUUCACAAGUCAUGGACAUGGAGAUGUCGAACUAAUAAUGUGGACACAUGUGGAGACAUGUGCUAGGACUGACCCAACACGAGAAGUAGUUCUCUCUUUAAACAACAUAUACGCUUUGUCCUUAGACCUGAGAUUGUCGCAUGUAUUCUAGAUGUGGGUCGACCUACUUAGGGGCUAUCAAACACUACGCCGUAACAGGGUAGUUAUAAAGGUAGCUUUCGGGUUUGUCAAGAAGCAUGCUAUGAGACAUGGUCAAUCAAGAUGGGAUUUGCCCCUCUCUGAUUGAGAGUGAUAUCUCUGGGCCCCUCGAGUGAUCGGAUCCGAAAAUGCAUGGCCAUGCUACGUACGGUUAAGAGUCAACCUACAAAGGGAUUCCGAAUCACAGGAUCGAGAAAGAGCGGUCGGCUUGAAGCUAGACCAAAUAUCGUGAGGCAAAGGGAAUAGCAUGUAUAUUAUGUUGUGAUGGUUCGUCUGAUAUGAUCUUCGUGUGCGUAUAGGAGUUGGCACGUCUUGCUAGAGGCCGCUACCGACUAUUGGGCCGAGUAGGAGUACUCGGGCCAUGUCUAUACGUAUCCGAACCCAUAGGGUCACACACUUAAGGGGCUAGAAGCCCAAUUCGGAUCAGAUCCGAGUUGGAUUAGGUUUAGAAGUACUAAUGGGCCUCGAAUCCAGAGGCCCGUCAGGAACCUCUAUAAAUAGAGGGGUGGGGGCGCCCUAGGGUUUACACCUUUUGGCUGAACACACUUGCCGCGCCUCCCACGCCCUCGCCUGUUGCAACUCGCGGAUCUAGCAAUCCGGCUUGCGACGCUUCCUCCCUGCACGUGUGGAUACCUUGGAGGUGUUGCGCCUGCAGCACUUGGACGAGCCAUCGACGAGCCGCCGACGAGCCACGACGAGCUGACGACGAGCCGCGGUACCGGAGGCGAUCUUGCUGUGCACGUGGACGAGCUGCUGAGGAGCUGCUGGACGUGAUCGACUACGUACGACUACGUUGAUCGACUACGUACGACUACGUGAUCGUCUUCACUGCAUCGACGCAUAUCUACAUCUUCCGCACCAGUAGUGCGUCGAGUGGUAAUCCCGUGAUCCUUAUACGGCAGUUCUUCCUCGUUAUACGCGGUAGAAAUUUUGAUUUGCGCUAGCGUAGCCUACCUCGUAUCCUAACAGACAAUGAUGAGCCUGCGACAUAUGCAGAAGCAAUGAUGGACCCAGACUCCGAAAAAUGGCAGAAUGCCAUGCAAUCCGAAAUAGAGUCCAUGGGAGACAAUCAAGUUUGAAACUUGGUUGACCCGCCUGAUGGUGUUAAAGCCAUACAGUGCAAGUGGAUCUAUAAGAAGAAAAAGGACAUGGAUGGAAAUGUUCACAUCUAUAAAGCACAACUUGUCGCAAAAGGUUUUCGACAAGUUCAAGGAGUUGACUACGACGAGACCUUCUCGCCCGUAGUGAUGCUUAAGUCCAUUUGGAUUAUUCUAGCAAUAGCUGCAUAUUUCAAUUAUGAGAUAUGGCAGAUGGAUGUCAAGACAGCUUUCCUGAAUGGAAACCUAGCUGAGGACGUGUAUAUGAUACAGCCCGAGGGUUUUGUUGAUCCGAAAAAUGCUGGAAAGGUAUGCAAGGUUCAGAGAUCCAUUUAUGGAUUGAAGCAAGCAUCUAGGAGUUGGAACAUUCGUUUUUAUGAAGUAGUCAAAGGGUUUGACUUCACCAAGAACGAAGAAGAGUCUUGUGUUUACAAGAAGGUUAGUGGGAGCUCUGUAGUAUUUCUAAUCUUAUAUGUGGAUGACAUAUUACUGAUUGGAAAUAAAAUUCCUAUGCUUGAGUCCGUAAAGACUUCACUGAAAAAUAGUUUUUCGAUGAAGGACUUAGGGGAAGCGGCAUAUAUUCUGGGCAUUAAGAUCUAUAGAGAUAGAUCGAGAAGGCUUAUAGGUUUAAGCCAAGAUACUUACAUUGACAAAGUGUUGAAGCGGUUCAGCAUGGAAGAGGCAAAGAAAGGGUUCUUGCCUAUGUCACAUGGCAUACAUCUCAGCAAGACUCAGUGUCCUUCGACUGCUGAUGAGCGGGAUCGCAUGAGUAGAGUCCCAUAUGCCUCGGCUAUUGGACUAUCAUGUAUGCAAUGAUAAUUACUCACCCAGAUGUUUCAUAUGCGCUAAGUAUGACAAGCAGACACCAAUCUGAUCCAGGUGAGAGUCACUGGACAGCGGUGAAAAACAUUCUUAAGUACUUGAGAAGGACUAAAGAUAUGUUCCUCGUCUAUGGAGGUGAGGAGGAGCUCGUUGUAACAGGUUACACCGAUGCUAGUUUCCAAACCGACAGAGAUGAUUCAAAGUCACAAUCAGGAUUUGUGUUCACGCUAAAUGGUGGUGCUGUUAGUUGGAAGAGUUCCAAGCAGGAGACGGUGGUCGAUUCUAUGACAGAAGCCGAGUACAUCGCGGCUUCGGAAGCCGCGAAGGAAGGUGUUUGGAUAAGGAAUUUCCUCAUUGAGCUUGGUGUGUUCCCGAAUGCGUCCAGCCCAUUGAAUCUCUACUGUGAUAACAAUGGGGCAAUUGCGCAAGCAAAGGAGCCAAGGAACCACCAGAAGAACAAACACGUAAUGCGGCAAUUUCAUCUCAUUCGAGACUUCAUUAACCGGGAUGAGAUCAAGAUAUGCAAAAUACACACGGAUCUGAACAUUUCUGAUCCGUUGACAAAACCACUCCCGCAGGCUAAGCAUGAUGCGCAUGUAAGAGCGAUGGGUAUUAGGUACCUUCUAGAUUGACUCUAGUGCAAGUGGGAGACUGUUGGAGGUAUGCCCUAGAGGCAAUCAUAGAGAUGAUGAUAUUCCAUUUGUAUCCAUGAUUUGUAUGUUGUGUUCAUUGAAUAUCAAUUGAAGGCUACUUGAAUUGAUUUGCAAUUAUGUGAAUUGUAUGUGAAACUCUUUACUUGUAUGGUUAUUCUAAAGUUGUCCCUAGUCGGAGUUCAUGUGAGGACACACAUGAAUAUUAGACUAGCACAUGUAUUAGUUGAUGACUAUGUUUCACAAGUCAUGGACAUGGAGAUGUCGAACUAAUAAUGUGGACACAUGUGGAGACAUGUGCUAGGACUGACCCAACACGAGAAGUAGUUCUCUCUUUA